AUUGAACGCUAGCGGCAUGCCUAACACAUGCAAGUCGAACGGCAGCACGAGGAGCUUGCUCCUUGGUGGCGAGUGGCGGACGGGUGAGUAACGCGUAGGAAUCUGCCUCGUAGUGGGGGACAACCCGGGGAAACUCGGGCUAAUACCGCAUAAUCUCUUCGGAGCAAAGUUGGGGACCUUCGGGCCUAACACUAUGAGAUGAGCCUGCGUUGGAUUAGCUAGUUGGUGGGUAAAGGCCUACCAAGGCGACGAUCCAUAGCUGGUCUGAGAGGACGACCAGCCACACUGGGACUGAGACACGGCCCAGACUCCUACGGGAGGCAGCAGUGGGGAAUAUUGGACAAUGGGCGAAAGCCUGAUCCAGCAAUGCCGCGUGUGUGAAGAAGGCCUUCGGGUCGUAAAGCACUUUUAGUGGGGAAGAAAAAGACAAGGAUAAUACCCUUGGAAAUUGACGUUACCCACAGAAAAAGCACUGGCUAACUCUGUGCCAGCCGCCGCAGUAA
rnacentral:rRNA from 1 species